UCCCUGGUUGUCCAGUGGUUAGGAUGUAGUACUUUCACUGCUGGGGCCCAGGUUCAAUUCCUGGUCAGGGAA
rfam:TPA: Bos taurus chromosome 22, whole genome shotgun sequence.